rnacentral:rRNA from 1 species
UUGUCUCAAAGAUUAAGCCAUGCAUGUCUCAGUACAAGCCAAAUUAAGGUGAAACCGCGAAAGGCUCAUUAAAUCAGUUAUGGUUCCUUAGAUCGUACCAACAUUUACUUGGAUAACUGUGGUAAUUCUAGAGCUAAUACAUGCAAACAGAGCUCCGACCGGAGACGGAAGGAGCGCUUUUAUUAGAUCAAAACCAAUCGGCGGCGGGUUCGCUUGCGGUCCCGUCGUCGUUCGCAUUGACGAAUCUGAAUAACUUUCUGCUGAUCGCACGGUCUCGCACCGGCGACGCAUCUUUCAAAUGUCUGCCUUAUCAACUGUCGAUGGUAGGUUCUGUGCCUACCAUGGUUGUAACGGGUAACGGGGAAUCAGGGUUCGAUUCCGGAGAGGGAGCCUGAGAAACGGCUACCACAUCCAAGGAAGGCAGCAGGCGCGCAAAUUACCCACUCCCGGCACGGGGAGGUAGUGACGAAAAAUAACGAUACGGGACUCAUCCGAGGCCCCGUAAUCGGAAUGAGAACAAUUUAAAUCCUUUAACGAGGAUCAAUUGGAGGGCAAGUCUGGUGCCAGCAGCCGCGGUAAUUCCAGCUCCAAUAGCGUAUAUUAAAGUUGUUGCGGUUAAAAAGCUCGUAGUCGAAUCUGUGUCCCGCGCCGCCGGUUCGUCGCUCGCGGCGUUUAACUGGCGUGCCGCGGGACGUCCUGCCGGUGGGCUUAGCUCUUUCGCGAGGGCGGCCCAAUUGUAAUCCCGCCGCGGUGCUCUUAACUGAGUGUCGAGGCGGGCCGGCACGUUUACUUUGAACAAAUUAGAGUGCUUAAAGCAGGCUAAACUUCGCCUGAAUACUUCGUGCAUGGAAUAAUGGAAUAGGACCUCGGUUCUAUUUUGUUGGUUUUCGGAACCCCGAGGUAAUGAUUAAUAGGAACGGAUGGGGGCAUUCGUAUUGCGACGUUAGAGGUGAAAUUCUUGGAUCGUCGCAAGACGGACAGAAGCGAAAGCAUUUGCCAAAAACGUUUUCAUUGAUCAAGAAAGAAAGUUAGAGGUUCGAAGGUCAUCAGAUACCGCCCUAGUUCUAACCAUAAACGAUGCCAGCUAGCGAUCCGCCGACGUUCCUCCGAUGACUCGGCGGGCAGCUUUCGGGAAACCAAAGCUUUUUGGUUCCGGGGGAAGUAUGGUUGCAAAGCUGAAACCUAAAGGAAUUGACGGAAGGGCACCACCAGGAGUGGAGCCUGCGGCUUAAUUUGACUCAACACGGGAAACCUCACCAGGCCCGGACACCGGAAGGAUUGACAGAUUGAGAGCUCUUUCUUGAUUCGGUGGGUGGUGGUGCAUGGCCGUCCUUAGUUGGUGGAGCGAUUUGUCUGGUUAAUCCCGAUAACGAACGAGACUCUGGCCUGCUAACUAGGCGUAUUUCCGACAUCUCGAAGGCCCGCCGGCCUGGAGCGUUCGCGCUCCUCGUCGUGCGCGGUUUUUACUGUCGGCGUACAAACAAUACUUCUUAGAGGGACAGGCGGCUUCUAGCCGCACGAGAUAGAGCAAUAACAGGUCUGUGAUGCCCUUAGAUGUUCUGGGCCGCACGCGCGCUACACUGAAGGAAUCAGCGUGUCCUCCCUGGCCGAGCGGCCCGGGUAACCCGCUGAACCUCCUUCGUGCUAGGGAUUGGGGCUUGCAAUUGUUCCCCAUGAACGAGGAAUUCCCAGUAAGCGCGAGUCAUAAGCUCGCGUUGAUUACGUCCCUGCCCUUUGUACACACCGCCCGUCGCUACUACCGAUUGAAUGAUUUAGUGAGGUCUUCGGACCGGCACGCGGUGGCGUUUCGACGUCGCCGAUGCUGCUGGAAAGAUGACCAAACUUGAUCAUUU